rnacentral:rRNA from 1 species
AUUGAACGCUGGCGGCAGGCCUAACACAUGCAAGUCGAGCGGCACGGGGGACGGGGGGGUGAUGCCUGGGGAUUUACCUGGUAGUGGGGGACAACUUACGGAAACAGGCGCUAACACAGCACACUUUCAGAUGGGCCUGGGUCGGAUUAGCUAGUUGGUGAGGUAAAGGCCUACCAAGGCGACGAUCCGUAGCUGGUCCGAGAGGAUGAUCAGUCACACUGGAACUGAGACACGGUCCAGACUCCUACGGGAGGCAGCAGUGGGGAAUAUUGGACAAUGGGCGAAAGCCUGAUCCAGCCAUGCCGCGUGUGUGAAGAAGGUCUUCGGAUUGUAAAGCACUUUAAGUUGGGAGGCGUUACCAACAGAAUAAGCACCGGCUAACUUCGUGCCAGCAGCCGCGGUAAUAC